rnacentral:lncRNA from 1 species
UUUUUUUUUCUUUUUUUUUUAGAGAGGACUUUAAAAAAAAAAUCUUUAAAAAAAUCUUUAUUGAGCAUUUAUUUUUUUUAAAGAUUUAUUUAUUUUAGGGGGAGCAAAGGGAGAGAAUCUCAAGCAUAGAGCUUGAUCCCACGACCCCAAGAUCAUGACCUGAGCCAAAAUCAAGAGUGAAAUGCUCAACUGACUGAGCAACCCAUUGCCCCACUUAUUAAGCAUAUAAAUGCUGGGCAUUAUUCUAGGCACUGGGAAUAUAGUGGUUCAAAAAACAAUAAAGACCCAACCUCCAGUAACUGAAAAUCUAAUGGAGAGAAAAAAGCAAAUAAGCAAUACAUCACAACAAAUUACAGAAAUCAACUACUAAUAUAGAAGUAAGCUUGUAAAGAUAAAUUCAAGACACACACAAAAAAAGGAAUAGAAAAAGAAAAGUUGGUAGAGAUCAGGGAAGUCAUCUCAGAGAACAGCCAAACUGAGAGCUGGUGUAGGCAGAGGGAGAAAACAGCAUGUCCCAGGAGUUCAUUGGAGAAGACAAGUGGCUAGACAGAAAAACAUGAUUCAGUCAUGAAAGGCCUUAAAUGCCAUGCUAGUAUUUUGGACUUUAUCUUGAAAUUAAUGGGAACCGGGGAUCCCUGGGUGGCUCAGUGGUUUAGCGCCUGCCUUCAGCCCAGGGAGUGAUCCUGGAGUUCCGGGAUCAAGUCCCACAUCAGGCUCCCUGCAUGGAGCCUGCUUCUCCCUCUGCCUGUGUCUCUGCCUCUCUCUCUCUCUCUCUGUGCCUCUCAUAAAUGAAUAUAAAUAAAAUCUUAAAAAAAAAAAAGAAAUUAAUGGGAACCAAUUACUUACUUAGCAGAAAAGUGAAACGAUCAGGGUUGCAUUUUAGAACAUUCUGACAUAAGUAAGGGUGGAGGGUUUGAAGGCCAGGCAACACUGAUGCAAAAUAGUUAAAUGGCUAUUGUGGUACUUUAGUCUUCAACACAGGAAUUAAGUGAAUGCUAAGUAUGGCUGAGUGUGGAGGAGGACUCAAUGACCAGGCUUCUGUCUGGCACAACUGGCCAGAGAUUAUUGCUAACAUUUAUUAAGAUCUGUGCCAGAAACCACGCUAAGCAUUUGACAUGCAUGAGCUCAUUUAAUUCUCUCCACAAACCCCUAUGUACAAUUAUUCUCAUUUUACAGGGGAAACUAAAAUUUAUGUUAAAUAACUUGCCAAGAUCAUGAUUAAAUCUAGAUCUUUCUAAACAAAAAGCUUAGACAGCCCUAGUGGCUCAGUGGUUUAGUGCCGCCUUCGGCCUGGGGCGUGAUCCUGGAGACCUGGGAUGGAGUCCCACAUCGGGCAUCCUGCAUGGAGCCUGCUUCUCCCUCUGCCUGUGUCUGUGUCUCUCUCUCUCCGGUGUCUCUGCCUCUCUCUCUCUCUCUCUGUCUCUCAUUAUUGAAUUAAAAAAAAAAAAAAAACCAAAAACUUAAAUACACAUAGUGCAAGUCCCAAUAUCUUCCUUUCCCUUCAAAUACCUACAUUUAACACAUCACUCCAUAAUUACUUUAUCUUGUUAGUAUUCAGGGAGGUAUUAUUCCUUAAUGUUUUCAGUUAACAUAUAGGCAAACUCUCGUUUCAUACUUAAUUCACUUCUGAAAAUUUUAAAGUACAAUGUCAGUUUCACAACAGAGUCCCAAUUUUAAAGCAGUACCUGUUUCCAGAGCACUAAACAUUUUAAGAUUCUUAACUUGUGAUUGGAAUCGACCUGUCAGAGGCAAUCCAGUGCACAUCGAAGAAAUGUCACAGGUGCCUAAGAUCAGGAUGAUCAGGAUAUGAGGUACUGCAUCUACCUCUCUGCAACUGGGUAAGCACCAAACCACCACUCUCCUGAACCCAAUGCAAGGAUAAAAGGAUUAGGGAACUUUCUAUUCAUUUUAUGACCAUAAGGUAUCUUCUAGCUUCUCAGAGCAGGGAGUGGAAGGUCUUUCUCCCUGCCAUGACAGCACAA